rnacentral:lncRNA from 13 species
GUCACUGUCAGCCUCCAUAAAGAACUACCAAGGGGCUGCCCUGUGCCCUCUCAUAAUAUACGCUGAGUGUCACUGCCGGCCUCUGUCCAUAGGGCUGUCCCUAAUCAACUACUACCAAUUACAACUCAAGGGACGGUCCUGUCCCCUCACUAGGGACUGCCUUGUCCCUUCACAACCCUCAUCUUGUACACUUGAGCACAGGCUCAGAACCACAGCCCACCUCUACUGGCCUCGAUCAAGAACUACCAAUGACCAAGGGAGGGUCUGGGACUCACUCACAACAUCUCUCUCCCCCGACUGCCCCGUUUGUGCCCACCAAUAGAUCCACAGAGCACGCCUCACCCUCGCUCACCGUCUUUGGGAUUGUCCCCACCGAGGGUAAACUAACCAGUUUAACAACCCAACAUAACUCCAGCUUCUGUGUUUCAUCUCCAUGAAUAAUCCUCCCAGCCCUCAGGGCUCAUUUCUACUAAUCACAUUACACCACAGAGUGAGAAGAACACUGUUGUGUGAUGCUUGGCGUGUUCAAGAAGCCGUAGAGACAGUGGUUGGUGUUGGGUCAGUUUUUUUUAUUUGUUUAUAUCUUUUUUAAAUAAUUGGCGCAUACAAUGAACACCCGCCAAAUGCGGGAAGAUUUAGGUGUUGGCGGGUGGUCAAUUUGCAGGGCUCCACAGUGCCAGCGUUACGUUCACCAACAAAAUAAAUAGUCUGAAGAAUUCUGCAAUAGCUGUUUUCAAAGUAUUUCUGUUUUGUUUCGUAGCUGCUAAUUAUACUAAUCCUAUAUCCCACCUGGUGCAGCAACACCGCCUGACAGGGGAGCUGAGCAGGGGAGCUGAGCUCACAUUCUAUAUCCCGCCUGGUGUAGCAACACCGCCUGACAGGGGAGCUGAGCUCACAUUCUAUAUCCCACCUGGUGCAGCAACACCGCCUGACAGGGGAGCUGAGCUCACAUUCUAUAUCCCACCUGGAGCAGGGGAGCUGAGCUCACAUUCUAUAUCCCACCUGGUGCAGGGGAGCUGAGCUCACAUUCUAUAUCCCACCUGG